UCCACCUUUGCUUUUUGGAGGAGGACAGAGGGUCGUGGGCUGCUGUCACAUGCUGGAGAAGUGGAGGAGGGAGACGCCGUGAGCAUCCUGACCUGGAUGCAGAGCAAGCACGAGGAUGUACCUCUUCUCCUCCCGUGACCAGGAGGGACAGUCCGUCCUGGUGUGCUGGACUCCAGGACUGCCCAGGUGACUGCCAUGUGCAGGGCCACCAAGGACCCACAGCUUGGGGCUUCUUUGAGAGUCACAGUUCUAGGUUCUGAGUCAGGAGACAGCAGGUUUCUUUCAUUGUUGCAUUGUGUGGUUGGGGACAGGCACUGUGUAGUCAGGGACAGGCACUGUGUGGUUGGGGACAGGCACUGUGGCUGAGCUCUGUGGAUGGAUUUGCUGGUGUGCACAGGAGUUCCCAGCCCUCCCGCUGGGUGACAUCAAACACCACACAGCACAGGCAGUCACCUAAGCCAUGUCCUUGUGGAAGGGUGUGCAUACAGGUAAGAACUGCUUUCUGCUUAGGCAGAACAAACGUCCUCCUCCAAGCCAGCCAAGGGCUCAGUGACGGCGGAAGCACUCCAAGCUGGGGAGGGUGCACCUGCGCGGCCGGGCUCUUCCCCAGGACGGGCAGCUCAGGAUCGCUCUGUGAAACAGGGUCUUGCCACACACACCCAUCGACUCAGCACUUGGCUGGCACACACUGUGUGUCUGCACCUCCCUGGGGACUGGAGGGCCAGCAGGGAGCCCUGCAGACCUUGUCCAGACCUUGACCAGACCGUGGCAGGGCUUGAGUGACAAUCGGCAGAGACGGACAAACAAAAAGAGAAAGGAACUCCAACGUCAGCCCGUCCUGGGGUCUCAUGGAGGACCAGGCUGAAGAAGCUCAAGACACUGACACACUCAGGGGCCUGCACUGGGUUCCCAACAGGGAAGGAACAAGGUUUCCAAGGCUUUCCAAAUCCUGAGACCUCUCAUUGCCCACUCAGAGGGAGGCCAGGAGCUGCGUCUGCAGGUCACAGCCCUUCCGGUGCCACUGGACCCUGGGCACCCUCGUCUGUUACUGUCCUUCCUGAUCACAGCGUGCCCACCGCCUCUCUCAUGCCCGUGAGCAUCCUCUUUACAUAAUUAGAUUUGUAAGUGUUUUUGCUCGCUUUAAAUCAAAACUCUGAUUCCGAGGUAACUGUGGAUUCACAUGCAGUUGUAAGAAAUAACGCGCCCUUUGCCCGCGUCCCCCCAGUGCCAUGUCUUAGGAAGCUGAAGCUGGAAUCACAGCCGGAGCUGAGCUUGUGCAGCCCCCAGCAGCUCGGCAGACCCACCCCGAAGGGCACUCUGCCGUAGCCAGGCCUGCUUCCCUCCCCACUGAGCCUCGUCUGUUGUUUCUGGACUGUUCGUUUAGAGAUGAUGAUAUGCAAACAGAACCUCGCAGCCUGCGGUCUCUUGGAACUGGAGAUCUGCACGCACCAGUGCGCACUCCGAAGCUCGUUUUCCUCGAGGACGUGGCAUCCUCUGGACACAGGCAGUCGGUUCCACUCCCCACCCUGUAAUCCAAAUCUCGGUCCUUUCCCACUUUUGGCUUGAUGAUUGCAGCUGCUGUGAGGCAGGAGAGACGGAUUUUCUCUGGAACGCUGGGUUUUCUCCUCUCCAGGAUGCAUGCGCACAGGGGGAUGGCAGGUGGUGGAGUAGCUCAGAGCCGCACAGACCCAGGAAGGUGCAGAUGACAAGGUCCUCCUCACGCCAUCCCCGGGGGCUUGUCCUGCUGGUAGCAAUACUCUGACGAGUGAGGGCACAGCUCAGCUGUGUUUAAACUUUUCCCUGGUGGCUGAUGAGGCUGGCAUGGCUCCAUGCACUCAAGGGCACUCUGUAGACUUUCCCCUGUAAGAUGGUCACUCACCUCUGGCCCUUUUCUAUUUGAAUUGUCUGAUUCUUUUAUACUGUUGAGUAUGGGACGUUCUUUACAUAUAUUCUAAACCCGAGUCUUUCGUCAGACGUGUGGUUUGCAGAUAUUUUCUCCCAGUCUGUAAUUUGCUUUUUCAACCUCUUAACAUGGUUUACAGAGCAAAAGUUUUUAAGUCCCAAUGAAGUCCAAUUAGCAAUUUUUCCUUUGAUACAGCACCUCGUUAGUGUCAAGACUAAGACCUCUGCCCAGCUCUAAAGCUAAAGAUUGUCCUUUUCCCCUCUAAAAACUGUAGAUCUAAGCUUUCCACCUAAGUCCGUGGUCCAUUUGGAGCAGCUGUUUGUGAGGAGGGGACACGGGUGGUGGCCCAGGUCUGCCUCCUGAGGUCCACCUGUGCCACUUGACGGAAAGGCAGCUUUUCCUCCUUGAAGUGGGUUCACACCUUGGUGAAAAGUCAGCUGGGCAUGGUUUGUGGGAGUCUGCGUUUGUUCUCUGUCCUGUCCCACUGGUCUGUGGGGCUGCCCCUGGCCAGGAUCGCACAGUUUUGAUUGCUGCUGUCACACAGCAAGUCUUGCAACUGGCUGUACCCGUCUCUUCCACUUUACCCUUCUUUUGUAAAUUGUUUUAGCUAUUGGUAGCUUUGCUUUUCCAUAUGAAUUUUAGGAUAACAUUGUCUAUAAUUAGAAGAAAAUCUUGCUGGGGUUUUUAUUGGAAUUGUCUUAAACCUGUAUAUUUAUUGAGGAAGAACUGACAUUUUUACUCUGUUGAGCUUUUUCAAUCCAUGAACAUGGUGUGUCCCUCGUUGAUUUGGAUCUUCUUUGAUCAUGUUCCUCUACAGUGUGAUUUCUAGUAUGUAACUCCUGUAUAUGUUUUGUUAGAUUUAA
rnacentral:lncRNA from 1 species